GGGUUUGAUCCUGGCUCAGAUUGAACGCUGGCGGCAUGCUUUACACAUGCAAGUCGAACGGCAGCACGACGUGUAGCAAUACACGUUGGUGGCGAGUGGCGAGCGGGUGAGUAAUACAUCGGAACGUGUCCUGUAGUGGGGGAUAACCAAUCGAAAGAUUGGCUAAUACCGCAUACGAUCUACGGAUGAAAGCGGGGGAUCGCAAGACCUCGCGCUAUAGGAGCGGCCGAUGUCCGAUUAGCUUGUUGGCGGGGUAACGGCCCACCAAGGCGACGAUCGGUAGCUGGUCUGAGAGGAUGAUCAGCCACACUGGAACUGAGGCACGGUCCAGACUCCUACGGGAGGCAGCAGUGGGGAAUUUUGGACAAUGGGCGCAAGCCUGAUCCAGCCAUGCCGCGUGAGUGAAGAAGGCCUUCGGGUUGUAAAGCUCUUUCGACGGGGACGAAACGGUCUGUGCCAACACCACGGACUAAUGACGGUACUCGCAGAAGUAGCACCGGCUAACUACGUGCCAGCAGCCGCGGUAAUACGUAGGGUGCAGGCGUUAAUCGGAAUUACUGGGCGUAAAGCGUGCGCAGGCGGCUCCUUAAGUCAGAUGUGAAAGCCCCGGGCUUAACCUGGGAACUGCGUUUGAUACUGGGGGGCUAGAGUGUGGAAGAGGGGGGUGGAAUUCCAGGUGUAGCAGUGAAAUGCGUAGAGAUCUGGAGGAACACCGAUGGCGAAGGCAGCCCCCUGGGCUAACACUGACGCUCAUGCACGAAAGCGUGGGGAGCAAACAGGAUUAGAUACCCUGGUAGUCCACGCCCUAAACGAUGUCAACUGGUUGUCGGGGAAGUAAUUCCUUGGUAACGAAGCUAACGCGUGAAGUUGACCGCCUGGGGAGUACGGCCGCAAGGCUAAAACUCAAAGGAAUUGACGGGGACCCGCACAAGCGGUGGAUUAUGUGGAUUAAUUCGAUGCAACGCGAAAAACCUUACCUACCCUUGACAUGUGCGGAACGGGGUAGAGAUACCUCGGUGCCCGAAAGGGAACCGCAACACAGGUGCUGCAUGGCUGUCGUCAGCUCGUGUCGUGAGAUGUUGGGUUAAGUCCCGCAACGAGCGCAACCCUUGCCAUUAGUUGCUACAUUCAGUUGGGCACUCUAAUGGGACUGCCGGUGACAAACCGGAGGAAGGUGGGGAUGACGUCAAGUCCUCAUGGCCCUUAUGGGUAGGGCUUCACACGUAAUACAAUGGCCGGUACAGAGGGCUGCCAACCCGCGAGGGGGAGCAAAUCCCAGAAAGCCGGUCGUAGUCCGGAUUGUUCUCUGCAACUCGAGAGCAUGAAGUCGGAAUCGCUAGUAAUCGCGGAUCAGCAUGUCGCGGUGAAUACGUUCCCGGGUCUUGUACACACCGCCCGUCACACCAUGGGAGUGGGUUUCACCAGAAGUAGUUAGCCUAACCGCAAGGAGGGCGACUACCACGGUGAGAUUCAUGACUGGGGUGAAGUCGUAACAAGGUAGCC
rnacentral:rRNA from 1 species